ensembl:snoRNA W10C8.17 ncRNA
CCCCCCCCCACACACACAUGUUUGGACACCUUUUUUCUACAGACAAAAAGACGCGGAAAACAAUAGGUUCAAAAGGUGUGUGUGUGUUCGUAUUCAUUCAUUACAAAAUGAUGAUGACCCCACACCAGAACAAGUGUGAGAGAGCUCUAAUUGCUUCCGGAACAUGAUUGGUGCCACUUCCUGUAGAGAAU